rnacentral:rRNA from 1 species
UUGGAGGGCAAGUCUGGUGCCAGCAGCCGCGGUAAUUCCAGCUCCAAUAGCGUAUAUUAAAGUUGUUGCAGUUAAAAAGCUCGUAGUUGAACUUCGGGGUCUACCCAUUGGUCAGGCUUAAUUGUCUGCACUGGUAGGAUGGAUCUCUACCUUCUGAGGAACUUUCAUGCCAUUUAUUUGGUGUGAUGGGAAAUCAGGACUGUUACUUUGAAAAAAUUAGAGUGUUUAAAGCAGACUAUCGUCUGAAUACAUUAGCAUGGAAUAAUGAAAUAGGACGGACUGAUUCUAUUUCGUUGGUUUCUAGGAUCACCGUAAUGAUUAAUAGGGAUAGUUGGGGGCAUUAGUAUUCAAUUGUCAGAGGUGAAAUUCUUGGAUUUAUUGAAGACUAACUACUGCGAAAGCAUUUGCCAAGGAUGUUUUCACUAAUCAAGAACGAAAGUUAGGGGAUCGAAGGCGACCAGAUACCGUCGUAGUCUUAACCAUAAACUAUGCCGACUAGGGAUCGGAUGAUGUUAAUUUUUUAAUGACUCAUUCGGCGCCUUACGGGAAACCAAAGUGUUUGGGUUC